GUCGCGGUGCCGGAGUGGUUAACGGGCGGCCCUGCUAUCUAAGCAGUCUCAGGCCGUGCUUUCGAGCGCGCAGGUUCGAAUCCUGUCCACGACG